AUUGAACGCUGGCGGCAUGCCUUACACAUGCAAGUCGAACGGUAACAGGUCUUCGGAUGCUGACGAGUGGCGAACGGGUGAGUAAUACAUCGGAACGUGCCUAGUAGUGGGGGAUAACUACUCGAAAGAGUGGCUAAUACCGCAUGAGAUUUAAGGAUGAAAGCAGGGGAUAGCCAGACCUUGUGCUACUAGAGCGGCCGAUGGGAGAUUAUGUAGUCGGUGGGAUAAACGCUUACCAAGCCGACGAUCUGUAGCUGGUCUGAGAUGAUGACCAGCCACACUAUGACUGAGACACGGCCCAGACUCCAACGGGAGGCAGCAGUGGGGAAUAUUGGACAAUGGGGGAAACCCUGAUCCAGCAAUGCCGCGUGUGUGAAGAAGGCCUUCGGGUUGUAAAUCACUUUCAGUUGGGAGGAAGGGGUGAGCACUAAUACUGUUCAUCAUUGACGUUACCGACAGAAGAAGCACCGGCUAACUCUGUGCCAGCCGCCGCGGUAAAAC
rnacentral:rRNA from 1 species